GGCAAUUUAUUUUCUUAUAAAAAGUUUUUUUUUUAAGUAGUUUAGUUACAGACAAGCAUGUAAAGAUGGUUAUAGUUUUAACACUACUGACCCACAGAUAAAAAAGAGAUCAUGUUAAAUUUACCGUAACCCCUCCCCCCAAAAGUUGCAAUAAUGUAAGAUGAAGUAUAGAUGACACAGGGUUUCCUGUCAGGAUUUUAUAGGAUGAAGCACCACAUGCAAAUGUCUUUCUACAGGUCAUAUGUGUUAUAGGUUAAAAGCCGCCUGUCACCCAGGAUGUGACUGCGAAUCACUGGAUUGCAGGGACACUAUACAACAUGUUGCUGUUCUGGUGUGUGCUGUGUGUAUCCUCACUGCAGGGAGUGUUGUCACAGGCGCAGCUUGUUCAGCCAUCCGCAGAAGUCAGAAAGCCUGGAGAGAGUGUGAAGAUGUCCUGUAAGACGUCUGGAUUUUCAUUCACAGGCUACUAUAUAAACUGGAUUCAACAGGUUCCCGGAAAAGGAUUGAAAUGGGUCGGAAGAAUUGACCCUGCAGAUGGAAACACAGUAUAUUCCUCAUCCUUUGAAGGACGAUUCACAAUAACAACAGACAAUUCCAUCACCACAGCCUAUUUACAGAUAAACCGCCUCAGUCUGGAGGAUUCAGCCACAUAUUACUGUGCAAGACACAAUGAGAAAAAGAGGCCAUCUGCCAUACAAAAACAUACACAAACAAUGUCAUCCUCAAUCCACUUGGGGGCAGUACAUAAUAACAUUUAG